CGAGGUUUCGAACACGCUCAACGCCUAACUCGGAGAACGCCCGCGCAGAAAUGCGCCCGGGAGCCGCGGCCAUGGCGGCCGACCCGCAGCUCCUUGCUGCUGCGGUCGAGGCCGCGAUCGCGUCGCGCUCCCCUCUCCUCGGCCGCGCCGCGCACGCGCGCGCCCUCAGGCUGCUUUCGCCGGAGCUUCCGCCCUUCAUCUGCGCGCACCUUGUCAACCUCUACUCGAAGCUCGAUCUCCCGGCGGCCGCCGCCUCCGCGCUCGCCUCCGACCCCAGCCCCACGGUCGUUUCCUUCACCGCCUUCAUCUCCGGCGCCGCGCAGCACGCGCGCCCGCUCCCCGCACUUUCCGCCUUCGCCGCCAUGCUCCGCCUCGGCAUCCGUCCCAACGACUUCACCUUCCCCUCCGCCUUCAAGGCCGCUGCCUCCGCGCCUCCUCGCUCCGACGUCGGUCCACAGAUACACGCGCUCGCGCUUAGGGUCGGCUACCUCCCCGUCGACCCCUUUGUCUCAUGUGCCGCGCUGGACAUGUACUUCAAGACCGGCCGCCUCGGGCUGGCUCACCGCCUGUUCGAGGAAAUGCCUAACAGAAACGUGGUGGCGUGGAAUGCGGUGAUGACCAACGCCGUGCUCGAUGGGCGGCCCUUCGAGACGAUCCAAGCUUACUUUGGGCUCAGGGAGGCUGGUGGGAUGCCAAAUGUCGUCUCGGUAUGUGCCUUCUUCAACGCGUGUGCCGGAGCGAUGCUCCUGUUGCUUGGGGACCAAUUCCAUGGGCUCGUGGUGAAGUGCGGGUUUGACAUGGAUGUCUCAGUGUCGAAUGCGAUGGUUGAUUUCUAUGGGAAGUGCCGAUGUGCGGACAAGGCAAGGAUGGUGUUCGAUGCGAUGAGAGUCAGGAAUAGUGUGUCCUGGUGUUCCAUGGUUGUUGCAUAUGCACAUCACGGGGCAGAGGAGGAUGCCUUUGCAGUGUACCUGGGUGCCAGGAGUGCUGGGGAAGAGCCGACUGACUUCAUGGUCUCCAGCGUGCUUACUACCUGCGCCGGCCUGCUAGGCCUUGACCUUGGCCGUGCUCUGCAUGCAGUUGCUGUACGCUCUUGCAUUGAUGCAAACAUUUUUGUUGCAAGUGCAUUAGUUGACAUGUAUGGGAAGUGCGGGGGUGUUGAAGAUGCGGAACAUGUUUUUUUGAAUAUGCCACAGCGAAAUCUUGUCACAUGGAAUGCGAUGAUUGGAGGGUAUGCUCACAUAGGGAAUGCUACGAAUGCACUGGCGGUAUUCAAUGAUAUGAUAACAAGUGGAGAAACACCACCUAAUUACAUCACACUUGUAAAUGUGAUCACAGCCUGCAGUAGAGGAGGUUUGACAAAGGAAGGGUAUGAGUUGUUUGAGACAAUGAAGGAGAGGUUUGGGAUAGAACCACGGACUGAGCACUAUGCCUGUGUGGUUGACUUGCUUGGGCGUGCAGGAAUGGAAGAGCGAGCUUAUGAGAUUAUACAGAGGAUGCCAAUGAGGCCUUCCAUUUCUCUGUGGGGAGCACUACUUGGGGCAUGCAAGAUGCAUGGGAAGACGGAGUUGGGAAGGAUUGCUGCUGAGAGGUUGUUUGAACUUGACCCCAAGGACUCUGGCAACCACGUGCUUCUAUCAAACAUGCUCGCAUCAGCUGGCAGGUGGGCAGAAGCAACUUAUGUAAGGAAGGAGAUGAAAGAUGUCGGAAUCAAGAAAGACCCAGGGUGUAGCUGGAUCACUUGGAAAAAUGUUGUGCAUGUUUUUCAUGCCAAGGAUACAAAACAUGAGAUGAAUAAUGAGAUCCGGGCAUUACUAGCCAAGCUCAAAAGGCAAAUGCAAGCUUCUGGGUACAUGGCAGACACACAGUAUUCACUUUAUGAUCUUGAGGAAGAAGAAAAAGAAUCAGAGGUGUUCCAACAUAGUGAGAAGCUUGCUGUGGCCUUUGGACUCAUUCACAUACCGCCUGGUGUACCUAUAAGGAUCACAAAGAACUUGAGAAUAUGUGUGGAUUGCCACCGAGCUUUCAAGUUUAUAUCUGGUAUUGUUGGUAGGGAGAUAAUUGUGAGAGACAAUAAUAGGUUUCAUCGCUUCAAACAAUAUGAGUGUUCAUGCAAGGAUUAUUGGUGAAAGUUCUGUCCAUGUGGUACACAUAUUCUUUUGCCAUCCCUAGAAUCAGUUCUGAAAAGAUAAAAGGAAAAGUUUUGUGUUUCAAGUAGUACAUAUGGUGGCAUCUACAGAAUUUGUUGAUUUCGGUAAUACGUUGCUGUUUAUAUAUCAAUUUCGAUUGAAAGCAAGGAGGGGAGCCUGUGCGACACACUUGGCAGGACAUCUGGGGGGAGUUGUCAACUGGAGGGGUGGCAUCCGCCCAGCAGCUCCAUGGCCAUCUUCUUCCCUUGGACUCCAUUCGCUCUAAGAAUUUGAGCAGUUACUUCUUUGUAUCCUUCUGCACACCUCCAACAUGUCUGAACGUUAUCAGUGUUUGUUGUCUAUUCUGGGAACAUUAAACAAAGUUAGAAUAUUUCAGUGCUGGAAUGGGGAUUUCUGGCCUGCAUGGCAGCAGGUGUAGCAUACAUAAAGAAUUGGUAUUAUUUC